CUGGAAUAGAGCCACCUCUCUCUUCCUCUUCAUGUAAAUUCACUCAUCCCAUCACGGCUGCCCCACUCUCGGAACCUCAUCUAAAUCUGAUGAUCUCCCAAAGACCCUGCCUGCAGAUACCAUCACAUGGGGGGUUGGGGCUUCACCACGUGAAUUUGAGAGGGGCCCAUACAUUCAGUCCAUAACAACAGCCAUUGACCAUAUUGGCCUUGACUCAUUAGAAAGCCCUAAGAUGGAAAGCACAGCUUGCCAGAAGCACAACUUCAUGAGUUCUCUUCAGACAGAGGCUUGCAGUCAUCCACUGAGCCGCACAGACCUCUUUUUGCUGUGUGGCAGACAGCUCAGAUGCAGGGGGGUCCGAUCAAAUCAGGCAGACAGAAGAGCCACUCUGGUUUAGAUGCUUCAUGCCCCAUAGCCGCCAAUGCUUGGGACAGAUCCAUGGCCAUAGCUGUCACUGUAUAAGACGGAGGGCAGCCCAGAAAAGUCAGGACAGGCAGGGACACCCAAACCUAUACCAUUCUAGGUCGUUACAGUUUAUCUCUAGUUCUUCCCAAACUAGACUUCAUUUGCCACUCAGGGUCAUUUUUCCUGCAAGUAUUAUUCCUAAGUAACGUAGCUGGUAGAUAUCAGGUGACCAGGGGAACAAAGCCAGUGUGUUCACUGAAGGUCAAGUUAUCAUGAAAAAGGAAAAAAGAAAUAUCUAUUGUCACCUUGACCACACUCCUGAAUUUAUAGAUACCUUUCCUUCUAUCUCACCUCUUCUUAGAGGCAAUUUUAAGAGCACUGGAGUAUUUUGAGAAGUUAUCACAAAAUGUCUUUUAACAUGAUUAGGAGAUAAGUUAUGCUAAUAUAAUACACUUUUCUCCAAUCUCUCUUUAGCAUAUUACUUUUACCAGAAGCCCAGACAUUCAUGACACGCUUGAUGCUAUAAUUAGUAAACGUCACGUAUAAUGCCUGCGUGAUGGAUUAACUUUUUCAGGAACUCUCUUUAAUAAUGUUGUACUCUGAGUAACAUCUCAAUGAAUAAAUUAAAUAAGCAGUAUGGACAUAUAUGCAUCGUAAUCAUAAUAAGACCUGGUUUAUUAAUAAGCUGGGCUCUGGAAAUUCAUGAUGAAAACCACAAAGUCCCUGAUUUAAAAACCUUGCAGUGGACCUGGGUGCGGAGACAUCAGUAGGUUUAAAAAGUAAAUACUUAAUAUACUUUCAGUUCCAAUCCAGUAAUGCAGUAGAUAGGGGAUAGUGGGCAGUGAGGUUAGGGCCAGUGUGGUGGGGAGAUGAGGAAGGGCUGCCCUAACUAGAAAGAUGAGAACCAGCCACAGCUCAUGGGAAGAGAUGCCAUGUGAUUUGAGACAAGAAAGGUUGAGAAAGGGACACCCAUGCCAAGCCCAAGGGUGGAGCUUUCCAAGAGAAGAUGCCGCAAAGGCAAGUGCUCGGAGAUAGGAACAUACUUGAUAGCACAACAGUACGACAACAGCACACAACAUAGUAUAAAAUCACAACAACACAACCACAAUAAGCAACACAG
rnacentral:lncRNA from 1 species